rnacentral:rRNA from 1 species
AGUGAACGCUGGCGGCAGGCCUAACACAUGCAAGUCGAACGGCAGCACAGGGGAGCUUGCUCCCUGGGUGGCGAGUGGCGGACGGGUGAGGAAUACAUCGGAAUCUACCCUUUCGUGGGGGAUAACGUAGGGAAACUUACGCUAAUACCGCAUACGAUCUGAGGAUGAAAGCAGGGGACCGCAAGGCCUUGCGCGAUUGGAUGAGCCGAUGUCCGAUUAGCUAGUUGGCGGGGUAAAGGCCCACCAAGGCGACGAUCGGUAGCUGGUCUGAGAGGAUGGUCAGCCACACUGGAACUGAGACCCGGUCCAGACUCCUACGGGAGGCAGCAGUGGGGAAUAUUGGACAAUGGGCGCAAGCCUGAUCCAGCCAUGCCGCGUGUGUGAAGAAGGCCUUCGGGUUGUAAAGCACUUUUGUUGGGAAAGAAAUCCUGUCGGCUAAUACCCGGCGGGGAUGACGGUACCCAAAGAAUAAGCACCGGCUAACUUCGUGCCAGCCGCCGCGGUAACAC